GACGAACGCUGGCGGCGUGCCUAAUACAUGCAAGUUGAGCGCUGAAGGUUGGUACUUGUACCAACUGGAUGAGCAGCGAACGGGUGAGUAACGCGUGGGGAAUCUGCCUUUGAGCGGGGGACAACAUUUGGAAACGAAUGCUAAUACCGCAUAAAAACUUUAAACACAAGUUUUAGGUUUGAAAGAUGCAAUUGCAUCACUCAAAGAUGAUCCCGCGUUGUAUUAGCUAGUUGGUGAGGUAAAGGCCCACCAAGGCGAUGAUACAUAGCCGACCUGAGAGGGUGGUCGGCCACAUUGGGACUGAGACACGGCCCAAACUCCUACGGGAGGCAGCAGUAGGGAAUCUUCGGCAAUGGACGAAAGUCUGACCGAGCAACGCCGCGUGAGUGAAGAAGGUUGUCGGAUCGUAAAACUCUGUUGGUAGAGAAGAACGUUGGUGAGAGUGGAAAGCUCAUCAAGUGACGGUAACUACCCAGAAAGGGACGGCUAACUACGUG
rnacentral:rRNA from 1 species